rnacentral:tRNA from 1 species
GGAAGGAUGGCCGAGUGGCCUAAGGCACACGUCUGGAGAACGUGUGAGCAGAAAUGCUCCGUGGGUUCGAAUCCCACUCCUUCCG